CCUCGGGGUGCCCCCAAGCCGGGCUGAGAUGCGAUCGCGAACCCGUUGAACCUGAACCGGCUAAAACCGGCGGAGGGAAGGUGA
rnacentral:ncRNA from 1 species